AAGCGUACACCGUCUAGACGCACCUCUUCGCCGGCUACAGGGACCAGGAAGUCCCUCAGCCUUUCUCCUUCUCACCAUUGUCCUCGAUGCGAAUUCAAAAUGUUCCCCUUUAAACAGCCUCCUACUGACGUCUUAGAACAAUCAUAUACGUACUGUACAUUGCAAUGCUAUGGGUGCAUUUUGACAACGCCUGUGCAAAACAACGCAUGCAGAUAUCAAUCAGAAAAAAAGAAAACGCUUCCGGACGCAGUGUCUAUUUCCAACCCAAAGGAGGCUGAGUUCACCGGGAUGGAAAGAGAGGUGAAAGCCUUGGCUGGAAGGGCCUGUUCAAAGGGAAGGAGGGAGGAAGGGAGGAAGGGGCGGGGGAACGCCGGGGUGGUGGGGUUGGAUUGAAGACCCCACAGUAGUAAAAGCACUAUAAAGCACUACAACUCUUA